AGGUGAACCUGCGGAAGGAUCAUUAAAAAAGUUUGGAUAUGAACUCUCAUUCCAAGUUUCCACUCAGCGUACCUGUCCACUGUAAGCUUCCGUUUGGCGCGGGUCCUAGGAUCCCCUCCUAUCGAGUCCAAUAGCGGCUCGGUUGGGAGUGUCCAGACGGGAGCCAAUAGCAAACCCAAUCUAUUAGUUGUAUGUCAUGUCUGAUAUGUUGCAAAGCAAUAUUUAAAACUUUCAACAACGGAUCUCUUGGUUCUCG
rnacentral:misc_RNA from 1 species